rnacentral:rRNA from 1 species
GACGAACGCUGGCGGCGUGCCCUAAUACAUGCAAGUAGACGCUGAAGGAGGAGCUUGCUUCUCUGGGAUGAGUUGCGAACGGGUGAGUAACGCGUAGGUAACCUGCCUGGUAGCGGGGGAUAACUAUUGGAAACGAUAGCUAAUACCGCAUAAGAGUAGAUGUUGCAUGACAUUUGCUUAAAAGGUGCAAUUGCAUCACUACCAGAUGGACCUGCGUUGUAUUAGCUAGUUGGUGGGGUAACGGCUCACCAAGGCGACGAUACAUAGCCGACCUGAGAGGGUGAUCGGCCACACUGGGACUGAGACACGGCCCAGACUCCUACGGGAGGCAGCAGUGGGGAAUAUUGGACAAUGGGGGAAACCCUGAUCCAGCGACGCCGCGUGAGUGAAGAAGUAUUUCGGUAUGUAAAGCUCUAUCAGCAGGGAAGAAAAUGACGGUACCUGACUAAGAAGCCCCGGCUAACUACGUGCCAGCAGCCGCGGUAAUACGUAGGGGGCAAGCGUUAUCCGGAUUUACUGGGUGUAAAGGGAGCGCAGACGGCAAUGCAAGUCUGAAGUGAAAGGCGUGGGCUCAACCCAUGAACUGCUUUGGAAACUGUAUAGCUUGAGUGUCGGAGGGGUAAGCGGAAUUCCUAGUGUAGCGGUGAAAUGCGUAGAUAUUAGGAGGAACACCGGAGGCGAAGGCGGCUUACUGGACGACAACUGACGUUGAGGCUCGAAGGCGUGAGGAGCAAACAGG